GGAGGAGUGUGGAAAGGGAGGAAAUAAUUUCAGACCAAAUAAAAACAGCAUAAAUAUCACUCUAAGGGAAACAUGUCUGAGUGCUCCUCCCCCUGGCUGUGGUGAAGUCUAACUAUUUUUUAAAUGGAAAGUGAAAGAUUUGAAACUUUAGAACGUGUUGGGCUGUACAGCUAUAACUACUCAAGAAGUUUGAUUUGGAUUUGGCAAAAUCUCUGUGGCUCUGAAACUGCUGUUUGCAGUGAAUAAAUGAUUGAAUGGGAAAAAAUGUGAACCCGAGGAAGACUUUAACAUUUGGGCUCCAGGACAGGUUUGUUCUACCCCAGGGCAAGUCACCCCAACCAGGUCCUGACAUGUAUUUGCUUCUUCUGGAAAAGUAGUUAUUUGGAGAUACCAGGCACAGUGUCUCUGUAUUAAUUCUACAAUUGCAUCACUGGAUAAAGAUAUGAAUUAAUAUAGAGUGAAUUAAUAAUUAGAAUGCAGGUGAAUUAAUAUAGAAGCCCAACUCUACAGAGCAGAGCCCAGUACUUUCUCCACUGGAGCAUCUGAAGGCAAAAUCUGAUGCUGUUUGCAUGUAAACAAGCACCCUUCUUUCCUUCCCAAAAAUGUAGAAUUUCCUGUGCAAUGAUGAAAAUCAAUAUUUUCCUCUGCAGUAUCCCAUCUGCUUUCAAUUUUCUAGAAGCAAGGAGGGAUGCAGAGUAUUCGAUCUGCUCUCCUCUGUAACCUUGCUUUGCACUGCUGCAGGCUGGUGCUGGAGAAGCCUCUCCCCCACAGGGAUGUGGAUGGAUGGAUGUGUGCCUCUUCUGCAGCAGCCAGCUCUGAGUGCUCUGCAGCUCAUCACAGCACUGGUGCUGUGGACAGUCGCCUGAGCUGCCUUUCUGCCAUCAAUCUCCCUCCUUCCCUCUCCUUUCCCUGUGCUAUAGAGUGCUCACUUGCCUCACUGGACGCAUCCCUUCCAUGGCAUGCUGUGACUGUGGCUGCUGGCACGGAGGGAGUGGUAGGUUGGUUUUAUAUCAUGGUUUUGCAGUGAAUGCAAGUGAUUAAAAUAAGAGAAAAAAAGCUAAACAAAAGGCUGUGUCUGCUGCUGAAGCUGUUCCACAGAGCAAGUGCAUCUGCUUUUUCUCACCUCUGAAGCAAAUCAAUAUGGCUUUAAAUGAUUAUCCCCGAUGCCUAGAUCUCUUACAUCACGCUGCUGUUAUCCCAGACACACUACUGCCUGGUCAUUCCUACCUUUUCCAUUCAGUCUCUCUCCCUUGGCUGCUUCUCUUUGCCUUCUUCCAAACACACACACAAAAUGCUCACUGGAGCAGCUCAGCUUUGCUCAGGCAUUGUUUCCUUCUGCAGACAAACCUGCAUUGCCCCUCUCUCACAGCCACACACACACUCACCGCAGUGCCUCUGCUCGCUGCCUGCCGGUACCUCCAUCUCUCGUGCAUAAGCACACACUGCCUGGCUGAGUGCUGCCUGAGCAGCAUCUGCUUAUCAGGAGCUUUUCUCCUGAUGCUGCAGUUAGUGGGGAAGGGCUCGUGUUUCUCUGCACCUCUGUCUGCUAAAGAUAUUCAAACUAAAAUAAGAAAAACAUUUUGAGAAUGAAAUAAUCUUCUCAGCUCCAAUCUUCUCCUUCUCACAUACACCCCAUCCCCACUGGGACAGGGAUGCUUGAGUGAAAACCUGUCACCAGUGCUAAAAAUAAAAGACCUCCAUGCAGAUAAACCCAUGCUUUGGGGACUGCCCCAUUUUUCUAGAUCCUGCCUAAUCUUGUAUUUGGAUUUUUCAGAACACAAGGUGUUUCCUGGUGGUAUAAAAAGCCCUCAGAAAUGCUUAUGCAUCAUCUGGGUACACUGACGUGUGUAUGAGCAAUGAGCACAGAGAAUCCAGCCCUCCAUCAGCACAGGAGUGCCCUUAACGCCCUUAUCCCUUCAGUGGCGCACAGAAACAAAUUAGCUGCUUGUUCCAUGCAGGACUUCAGCUUACAAAUCUAAACGCUUUUGCCAGCAUAAUCACUCUGUUUCUUAUUUAUUUAUUUUACCGUGUAUUUUUUCCUCACUAAUUUUUGCAUGUUGUUAUGCCUUUUUGUGCCUAGUCACCCACUUACAGCACCUAGGAGAUCAUUAUUUGCUUCUGAUUAGCACAGUGCUUUGGAGUGGCGUGCUGGAGGCAAAAAAAAUUAGAAUGUAUCAAAAUGCAAAUAUGCCCCCAUUGACCUCUGGAAAAUGUGUUCAAUUACAAAGUACUUUCAAAGAAAGCUAGAAAGGAAGAGGAGAGAGGCCAUGAGCUUGUAGAGGCCUACAAUAUUAAAAAAUAAUAGCAAAUUGCUGCUUAGAAGCUUACAUUGUGAGCAGUGCAAAAAGGUUUUUUUCCUUUAAAGUAGGAGUGAAGGGCCAAGGCUAUAAUACUCCAGCCCAUUUUCUGUAUCACUUUGCUUACUUUGCUAGAACUGCUGAAGUGAAUGGGGUUGCUUGUAGUGUAUAUUUUCCAAUCAUCUGCCAAGAUUCAAAUAUGUAGUCCGAUAUAUGGCAGUCACCCAGAAUGAGAGACACAGAAAUUAUUCACGAUCCUUCUUCCAAUGUGAAAGACUCCUUCUGUAACCUCAGCUUUAUGACACUGCAUUCAAGAAGUAAAUGUUUUUCUCCAAGAAAAGUGAGAGGAGGCCAAAUUUUCUUGGAGAAAAUAACGAUAGCAUUAAGACAGGGAUAUCCCAGUAGUGAGAUAUGCCUGAGAAGUGCACUGAAGAAAAAGAUGCAGUGCUAUGGAAGUUAUUUGAGCUGCUACUUUUUUACUUCUACCAGUGAGAGUAAAUACAUUCUUAAACUAGAGAAGACUGCAGUUUAAUGUUGGGUAAUGCUGGGAAAAUAACAUAUCCUCCACCCAAAAGAUUGAACAGGCUGCCCAGGGAGUCACCAUCUCCAGAGGUUUUCAAGAUAAGGGUGGAUACUGCACUGAGUAACAUAGUCUAGGGUGGUCACAGGCAUGGGUUGAUGACUGAACUACAUGAUCUUAGACAUCUUUCCAACCAUAAUGGUUGUAUGAUUCUAUGAAUCUCAUGGUGUGGCCUCAUCUUUAUUCUCCACAAUGCUCUUCUGCAAAUAUUUGUUUCUCUGGAGACAUAAAUUCUCUCUAAUACUUUCAUAGAUCCAAAAAUGGUUGUGUCCCCUCUUAGCAAGAUAAACACUUCAAAAUAACUUAUCUUAUCCAAGCAAGAGUUUGCAUGAACGUUUGAUACUAGUUUAGUGUUCACAUUAGCACUACUGCUGCAACGAGGGAAGUCUCAGAGGCAUUCUUAGAGCAGUGCUCUCACUGUGUUCAGUGUCUGUGAAUGGAAAGAAGCCACAAGGAGAAGCACUAUGGCCUCUGACUGCACCCAGCUGCACGUGGCUUCACCAUUUGGGCCUGGCUUUGCCUGAAUCCAUCAUGAGGUCACCAAGUAGGACUGCAAGAAGAUUUUGUUGAACCUGAACUUCUCAAUAGUGGAAAAAGCUCCUCCCCACUGGAUCACAGACGUACAAAAGCAGAGUGGUUUUAUUGCCUUAUCUCCUCAACAGGCAGACAUUCUUUCUCCUACAGAUCUCCAUCAUGGUAUGUUUUAACUUAGUACAAAAGAAGAUCAUCUGAGGAGUAAGGUGCCUGAUGGGGAAGAAGAGAUGCUUGUGUCCAGUUUCCAUGAUCCUGCUGACACUGGAGAUACCUGCUGUACAGGCUUUUUUACCUCACCUUGUUUGGUAUGUCCAAGCUCCCCAUUCCAUGACAGAGCCAAGCAGCUUCAGCCAGGCAUGAGGACCUUCAUACAUGAAAAGCAGUGAAGAGCCAUAUCCCUAAAGCAUGCAACUCUUGUAUAUGACAAAAGAUAAUGGGUGGAUACCAAGAAUUGAAGGUAACAGAAAGAAAGAGAGGACAUAUUUCCACAGCUUGGCAAAAGCAGUCUCCAAAGUCCUCAAACAGCUGUGGAAAAAUAGUGAAAGGAGAGCAAAUAGCCUGUUUGUCCUCUAUCUCAUGGACACAGUGCCUUGUGAGCCCUGGAGGGUAUCUGCUCAUAUCCAAGCUGUGAAAGCAGUUGCUGUGCCUGCCACAUCACAGCUUCAUAGACACACCAAUGCUUGCAGUACAGUCAAAAUAUGCUUUAAAGCCCAUUUCAGCAGCAAGCUCUCUGGAUUCUGUGCCAGGAAAUGUUAAUUACUGUGGUGCAGUGUUCUGUUUUCUGUGGUGCAAUAACAAUUAAUUUACACCAUUUGGAAAAACACUUUUUUAUUAAAAAUCAAUAGAAGCAAAUCAAUGCAAUGUAAAGCAUACAAUACCAAAAUGAAAAGCUCUUGUUUUUAUACUUGGGCAUCCUUAAUAAAAUUGCACUGUAGAUUCAGGCAGUUUGUCUAUUGUAAUCUAAUGAGAAGCUGUCAAGCUUCUUUUAAGCGUUCUGGAAAUUACCAUGUAUUGGGGCAGCCAUUUUUAGUCAAAGAAUUCAAUAAUUAACCCCCAAGUUGUAAGUCAAUAUGAUGAUGGUGCAGGUGCCGCUGCAUUUGUCUCUCUGCACUGCAUCACCUAUGCACCUGACAAUCUGUGGGACCCAUUUUGAAUCGAGAUGGAGGUUAAUUUUUAUUUAUAGUUAUAAUUAGAAAAACACUAGCUGUAAUGAAAACUGCUCCACCGCUGGAACAUAUCACCACAGAGUAAAUUCCACAGCAAUUUUUGCAUUUUAAUAGGUCAGAGAGUAACACAAAUGAAUUGCUUCUUCCUGGGGGAACUUGUUUAUUCUUUGGAAUUUAAUGAUUUACUGGAACACUGAUCUCAAAGAAAAAAAUCCCACAGUUGUUUUUCUACCAUUGCCUCAACUGCACAAGGUGCUGCAGACCCUGGGAAGGCAGCUCACACCUGUAAUUGUACAGCUCCUGAGGCUCCCCUGCACAAGGUACUGGGGCCUACCUGCCAGCUCCUCAGCACCCUGCUGCACAUGGCACAGGAGCUCAGGGACUUCUCCAGGAUGAUACAGCUCCACCACAGAAGUGCUCCCUCAGCCCACAGCAGGAUGCAUCCAGCUGCUACAGUAAGGAAUGCUUUACCCUUUAGGCACAAGCUGCUGUUCCCCUCCCCAUGGUCCACCGCCAUGGUCUGCACAUUUAUGAGUGCAGCCACAACUACAGCUGGUCUUCUCUGACUCAACCAGAGCAGGAAGAAGCAGGACAAUUUUAAUCCAAUGGAAGCACUCAUGGAAGCAGCCAAGGACAUAUCACUCUGGAAGGGCAGAUCAUCAUUUCCUUUCUCCAGACAGGACUACUAUGGGUUUGAGUUUGACUAUUUUAACGGUGAAUUGAUUUUUUGUGUGAAGUGAUCUAGGUAUGACAGUAGAUUUUUCAAAGUCAUUCGGUAGCUCAUGACAGUGGGCUGGGAGGACAGGUGUCAUCAAAUAAAAAGGUAUGAAGUGGACUAAUUUAAAAGGAACGCAGAGGUUGUACAGAACUGCCAGAAACUCCAUCGCUUUGGUACAGCGAUGCAAGGAAAAUAGAAACAGUAACAAAAGAAGACUUUGAAAUUCAAAGUUUUACAAAACAGGAUAUUUGAUUUGGAUUGUAUCUAGAAAUUGCAAAAGCUUGGCAAAGCAUCACUGAGGUACUGCAAAAUAUUUGUAAUCUGCAUAAUCUUUAUAUGCCACAGUCUUUCCCUCUACUGUGGGAGCUGUGAUGUAACCAUGAAUUUGUUAUUGGGGUGGCUGACACUAAUGUUCUUACAUAUUAAAAAAA
rnacentral:lncRNA from 1 species